UUGCUCAUAACUUAUUUAAGGUUACAAAUUUCAAAUUUGAUUAAUUUUUUAUUUAUAAUUGGUAUAUAUUAAUAUUUUUUAUUAUUUUAGUUUAAUUAUUAAUUUUAAUAAAAAAUCACCUUUUUUCCAUUGUAAAUCACUACAUGAGGUCGAACUGUUUUCACAUUGCCUCAACAACAAAUCACUUAUUGUCAUCACUCAUCAUUAUGAGUAAUCUAAAACAAUUUAAAAAAUGACACGAGUGGGAAUCUAUAUGUUCUCAAAUAAUAAUCCCGAAAAUCUUUUCUAGAAGUUAAACAAACACUACUGUUGAACAUUUCAGCAGUGCUGCUUUUCAAGUCAAGAAAAAUGUUGAACAAACACAUUCAACUACAAUGUUCAUUCUAGUAUUGACUUGUCUUAAUAUAAACAUUACUGACCAUACAUUAAAAAUGGCAAUGGACAUUGGUCAAUCUGUGACAAUUAACACAUAAGUCUGAUAUUUAAGUUUAUUGUACAAAGAGUAGUAAAACAUAUUAUUUCAACAACAAUAUAUUAUAAUAGAAUAAUGAAAAUAAUUCGGAGAAAAUAUAACAAUGUAGUGGACAA